GGCCCCGAAGAGAAAACGUAACAUACCUGUUGUUCACAUUGCAGAUCCUGUUGCAGAAGAUGAACCAUUCCAGUGUCCUGAUUGUACACUGAAGAUGUUAAUAUUUGUUUUAAAACAUAUUUCUUAACUGAUAAAUGAUCCAGUUGAACACGAUCAACAGUCAAGAUGUUCAGAGAGUGUAUCAGUCAUGAUCAUAGACCAGAUAUUUCAGUCAUUGAGAUACAGAAAUCAGUUAUCAAGGGGUACCAUGCUUACAAGAUUCGGCCACCAUAUACAGUACCUCCAAUGCGCUAAAGAGUUGUUGUAUCAUAGUUUGGGGACCUUUCUGUUGAAAAUGUGACAGAGUUAAAUCGUAUACAUAUACAUGCACAGUGCGUUAACUGGAGUGCAGGUAUUAGUUACCCGCACUCCAGAGCAUGCCCAUUGAUUGGUUCAUUUUGUCCGGGGUUUACAGUCAUAUUGUGACGACAGAGAAAGGGAAAGCGAUGGAAAUAUCCUAUUCAGAUGCUAGUUCAUUGGUUACUUUUUUGUGGGGUUUUAUAUUGUGUCGAUGCUCUUUCUAUUACAUAGAGAAUACACAAAUAUUAAAGACA